rnacentral:rRNA from 1 species
UAGGGAAUCUUCGGCAAUGGACGGAAGUCUGACCGAGCAACGCCGCGUGAGUGAAGAAGGUUUUCGGAUCGUAAAGCUCUGUUGUAAGAGAAGAACGAGUGUGAGAGUGGAAAGUUCACACUGUGACGGUAUCUUACCAGAAAGGGACGGCUAACUACGUGCCAGCAGCCGCGGUAAUACGUAGGUCCCGAGCGUUGUCCGGAUUUAUUGGGCGUAAAGCGAGCGCAGGCGGUUAGAUAAGUCUGAAGUUAAAGGCUGUGGCUUAACCAUAGUAGGCCUUGGAAACUGUUUAACUUGAGUGCAAGAGGGGAGAGUGGAAUUCCAUGUGUAGCGGUGAAAUGCGUAGAUAUAUGGAGGAACACCGGUGGCGAAAGCGGCUCUCUGGCUUGUAACUGACGCUGAGGCUCGAAAGCGUGGGGAGCAAACAGGAUUAGAUACCCUGGUAGUCCACGCUGUAAACGAUGAGUGCUAGGUGUUAGACCCUUUCCGGGGUUUAGUGCCGUAGCUAACGCAUUAAGCACUCCGCCUGGGGAGUACGACCGCAAGGUUG